rnacentral:rRNA from 1 species
CAGUAGCCGCGGUAAUACGUAGGGUGCGAGCGUUAAUCGGAAUUACUGGGCGUAAAGCGUGCGCAGGCGGUUAUAUAAGACAGAUGUGAAAUCCCCGGGCUCAACCUGGGACCUGCAUUUGAGACUGUAUAGCUAGAGUACGGUAGAGGGGGAUGGAAUUCCGCGUGUAGCAGUGAAAUGCGUAGAUAUGCGGAGGAACACCGAUGGCGAAGGCAAUCCCCUGGACCUGUACUGACGCUCAUGCACGAAAGCGUGGGGAGCAAACAGGAUUAGAUACCCGUGUAGUCCCUGUCUCUUAUAC